rnacentral:rRNA from 1 species
AACGUAGGAGGCGAGCGUUAUCCGGAUUUACUGGGCGUAAAGCGCACGUAGGCGGUCCAGCAAGUCGGGUGUGAAAGCCCUCGGCUUAACCGAGGAAGUGCAUUCGAAACUACUGGACUUGAAUACUGAAGAGGAUCGCGGAAUUCCCGGUGUAGAGGUGAAAUUCGUAGAUAUCGGGAGGAACACCAGUGGCGAAGGCGGCGAUCUGGGCAGAUAUUGACGCUGAGGUGCGAAAGCGUGGGGAGCAAACAGG